rnacentral:rRNA from 1 species
UACGAAGGGGGCUAGCGUUGUUCGGAAUUACUGGGCGUAAAGCGCACGUAGGCGGACGAUUAAGUCAGGGGUGAAAUCCCGGAGCUCAACUCCGGAACUGCCUUUGAUACUGGUCGUCUAGAGAUCGGAAGAGGUGAGUGGAAUUCCCAGUGUAGAGGUGAAAUUCGUAGAUAUUGGGAAGAACACCAGUGGCGAAGGCGGCUCACUGGUCCGAUACUGACGCUGAGGUGCGAAAGCGUGGGGAGCAAACAGG